ensembl:miRNA
GUACCAUCCUGUCGGAUAGCUUAUCAGACUGAUGUUGACUGUUGGAUCUCAUGGCAACAACAGUCGGUAGGCUGUCUGACAUUUUGGUAUCUCUCA